ACCAUCCUUUUCUUGGGGUAGCGCUACUGUCCAAUGAACGAAUAGUGAGGACAGGUACUGGCUAACGCCUACACAAACCACCCGCAUCAACUAGAGCUUUGCUUUACUUUGGUGGCAAUUUUUGGAAAA
rnacentral:ncRNA from 1 species